AUUCGAAGGCGCAGGAACCUCCCUGGUUAAUCCAAGGGGAGGCGGACCCUCCUAAAGGAUUCCCGCCAAAUACGUACCCGCAACCGCCGUAAUAUAAGGGAGCCAUACAUACCGGAUUAUAUGGCGAAAAGACUCCGUUAGAGGACCUGACAGGUCCUCUUGGAAACCUGAGGAUCUCAACCUCCCGAGCGUACGAUGGGAAACCUCUCGGCUGAGUCCGAGAGGAGGAGCUCGAAUUCCUGGGGUAGCCGUGAAAUUAGCAGAUAUCCAGAAGGACACCCCGUGACGAAAGCGGCUUUUUGGGACCGGUACUGACGCUGAGAACGCGAAAGCGUGGGGAGCGAACAAGGAUUAGAUACCCUGGUAGUACCCGCCGUAAACGAUGGGCGCUAGGUGUGGGAGGUGUCGACUCCUCCCGUGCCGCAGCUAACGCAAUAAGCGCCCCGCCUGGGGAGUACGGCCGCCAAGGCUAAAACUCAAAAGGAAUUGACGGGGGCCCGCACAAGCAGCGGAGCAUGUGGUUUAAUUUGACGCAACGCGAAGAACCUUACCAGGGCUUGACAUGCUCGGGGAAGCCGGAGAAAUUCGGCCCUCCUUCGGGACUCGAGCACAGGUGGUGCAUGGCUGUCGUCAGCUCGUGUCGUGAGAUGUUGGGUUAAGUCCCGCAACGAGCGCAACCCCUGUCCUAUGUUGCCAGCGCGUAAUGGCGGGGACUCAUGGGAGACUGCCGGUGACAAAUCGGAGGAAGGUGGGGAUGACGUCAAGUCAUCAUGCCCCUUAUGUCCUGGGCUACACACGUGCUACAUUGGCCGGUACAAAGGGCUGCAAACCUGCGAGGGUGAGCGAAUCCCAAAAAGCCGGCCCCGGUUCGGAUUGGAGGCUGAAACUCGCCUCCAUGAAGGCGGAGUUGCUAGUAAUCGCGGAUCAGCAAUGCCGCGGUGAAUACGUUCCCGGGCCUUGUACACACCGCCCGUCACACCACGAAAGUCGGCAAUACCCGAAGCCGGUGGGCUAACCUCUUCGGAGGAGGCAGCCGUCGAAGGUAGGGUCGAUGAUUGGGGUGAAGUCGUAACAAGGUAACCG
rnacentral:rRNA from 1 species